AGUAAUCUACAAAGAGCAGCUCGAUGUAGAUUCUCGUCUGCAGAGAAUAAGGUUCUCAUUGUUAUCGAUUUAUUGGAUCAGCGGUGACGUUUUCUCCUGUUUACUCCAGAAAUAUUGACGAAAAUAAAAUACUAAUCAAGUCGAUGCCCACUAACUAUGUUUGCAAGUGCAACCACACAUCAUGGACGAAUCAGCAGAGCGGUUUUCAAAACGUAAUCUGAAAUUGUGAUUCCGAAUGCCGGAAGCUAUUUUACAAGCCCUUCUAGGUGAUUUUAGUCUAGCCUUUUUGUUAGAUUAUUUUAAAUGCAUAUUUGAGGACCUCCAAAACUCAGCGUACAGAAACUUGAAUUUUCAGUUAGUGUCCAUCAGUCUUCCGAAAAACACGUACAUAUAUCCACGCGAUGUGAAAUUUUCACGAUGAUACUCAAAGAUCAACAUGCGUUGCCACAUCAUAAACAAACACGAUGUUUAUAAUUCAAGCACUUCAUGUCUAAACGUACCACCCGUUGUCGCAGUAUUUGCUUUCGUUUCGUUUCAUUUCACGCGCGGAAAAAAUAAUUCCUUUUAAAACAUUUCUUUGUAGAGCACUUUUUCACAGAAACCAACUAGAAAACCAACGGUGACUGACAGUAUAACAUAUGAUA